UGACGUCACGAGCGCGCCGGCAGUGACGCCAUUGGUGGACUAGGCGGACUAGGCGGACUAGGGUCUCGCUGCACCGCCGCGCCGCGGAGCAGUGCCCAGUCUCUCGCUCCUCCCGGCUGGGUAGCUUCGAGUGAGGAGAAACGGUCUUCCUCGUCUUUACCAUUCCAUAACAUUCAUGAGCCGACCCUGCUCCGGGGACACUGCGGUGGAUGAGAGAGCCCCAGUCUCCAUGCUACGGAGCUCAGGUUCAGUGGGGGACUUAGACGGAUCACCAUCACCAGGUCUUACCUCAGAUGCGCCCUUCUAUUCAAGCCUUCUCUGACCACGCCUCCCACCCCCCACCUCCAGGUUGGUUGGAUUAACUUCUCUGGACUCUCAAAGAGCUGGGAGGACAAAACGAAGAGGUGGUGUUACAGGACUUAGAGAAGGGGGAGCUGCGUGGCUGAUGCCCAGACCUCUGAAGAUAAGAUUUUAAAGGCAGGAGCUUACCUAUCUGAGCCACCCAGGCAUCCCGAGGACUGACUCCAAUUCUGAAGGAAGUUCUACUCUGGUUAAAAUGCUGUCAUUCAGCAUCACAUGCUGCAGAGAAAUCGUCCAUGAAAGUGCAGCACACUUCAGUUUGUCUCACUUUCAGAGAUUAUCAGUUAUGCCAACCUUCAGCAGCCACCACCCUGAUGAGUCAGCAGCCACGGACAUGGAAACAAGAUUCUCCACCAGCAAAAGGGUUAUGACUUACUGAAAGCUCAAAUGAUGGUAGCAUCUUUUAGCAAUAAAGUAUUUUUAACAUUUAAGCAAUAAAGUAUCUUAAAGUUGA